rnacentral:rRNA from 1 species
AGCGCAACCCUUGUCCUUAGUUACCAGCACGUUAUGGUGGGCACUCUAAGGAGACUGCCGGUGCAAACCGGAGGAAGUGGGGAUGACGUCAAGUCAUCAUGGCCCUUACGGCCUGGGCUACACACGUGCUACAAUGGUCGGUACAAAGGGUUGCCAAGCCGCGAGGUGGAGCUAAUCCCAUAAAACCGAUCGUAGUCCGGAUCGCAGUCUGCAACUCGACUGCGUGAAGUCGGAAUCGCUAGUAAUCGUGAAUCAGAAUGUCACGGUGAAUACGUUCCCGGGCCUU